GGUCAGAUGAUGCUACAACAACAUAUUCCUGAGAUUCUCUUUGAGGAAUACAAAAUCAAGGUUUUAAAGACUGAUGGCCA
rfam:Triticum urartu cultivar G1812 contig273794, whole genome shotgun sequence.